rnacentral:rRNA from 1 species
UCUGGUUGAUCCUGCCUGAACUGAUGUGUUCAUUUCAAAGAUUAAGCCAUGCAUGUAUAAGUUUAAUCGUUUUAACGAGAAACCGCGAACGGCUCAUUACAAUGGCCAUGAUUUACUUGAUCUUGAUUAUCUAAAUGGAUAACUGUGGAAAAGCUAGAGCUAAUACAUGCACCAAAGCUUUGUCCUCUCGGAAAAGCGCAUUUAUUAGAACAAACCACGCGGCUUCGGCUGCUUCUUGUUGACUCAGAAUAACUAAGCUGACCGCAUGGCCUUGUGCCGGCGGCGUGUCUUUCAAGCGUCCACUUUAUCAACUUGACGGGAGCAUAAUCGACUCCCGUGGUGGUGACGGAUAACGGAGGAUCAGGGUUCGACUCCGGAGAAGGGGCCUGAGAAAUGGCCACUACGUCUAAGGAUGGCAGCAGGCGCGCAAAUUACCCACUCUCGGCUCGAGGAGGUAGUGACGAGAAAUAACGAGACCGUUCUCUUUGAGGCCGGUCAUCGGAAUGGGUACAAUUUAAACCCUUUAACGAGUAUCAAGCAGAGGGCAAGUCUGGUGCCAGCAGCCGCGGUAAUUCCAGCUCUGCUAAUACAUAGAAUUAUUGCUGCGGUUAAAAAGCUCGUAGUUGGAUUCGUAUCGGUACCCUGGAACCCUCCGGGUGUUUCUGGGUGUUAUCGAUUUAUCGUAAUGUUCGGUUUUGAGUCCUUAACAGGAUUCUUAACAGGCAUUGCAAGUUUACUUUGAACAAAUCAGAGUGCUUCAAACAGGCGUUUUCGCUUGAAUGAUCGUGCAUGGAAUAAUAGAAAACGAUUUCGGUUCAGUUUUAUUGGUUUUACGGACUGAGAUAAUGGUUAACAGAGACAAACGGGGCAUUUGUAUGGCCCCGUGAGAGGUGAAAUUCUUGGACCGUGGCCAGACAAACUACAGCGAAAGCAUUUGCCAAGAAUGUCUUCAUUAAUCAAGAACGAAAGUCAGAGGUUCGAAGGCGAUCAGAUACCGCCCUAGUUCUGACCGUAAACGAUGCCAACUAGCGAUCCGCCGAUGGAAAUUAUAUUGCCUUGGUGGGGAGCUUCCCGGAAACGAAAGUCUUCCGGUUCCGGGGGAAGUAUGGUUGCAAAGCUGAAACUUAAAGGAAUUGACGGAAGGGCACCACCAGGAGUGGAGCCUGCGGCUUAAUUUGACUCAACACGGGGAAACUCACCCGGCCCGGACACUGUGAGGAUUGACAGAUUGAUAGCUUUUUCAUGAUUCAGUGGAUGGUGGUGCAUGGCCGUUCUUAGUUCGUGGAGUGAUUUGUCUGGUUUAUUCCGAUAACGAGCGAGACUCUAACCUACUAAAUAGCUGGUACAUAAUUGUGUAUACAGCUUCUUAGAGGGAUUUGCGGUGUUCAGCCGAAAGAAAUUGAGCAAUAACAGGUCUGUGAUGCCCUUAGAUGUCCGGGGCUGCACGCGCGCUACACUGGCAAAAUCAACGUGCUUGUCCUACCCCGAAAGGGCGGGUAAACCAUUGAAAAUUUGCCGUGAUUGGGAUCGGAAAUUGCAAUUAUUUUCCGUGAACGAGGAAUUCCAAGUAAGUGCGAGUCAUCAGCUCGCGUUGAUUACGUCCCUGCCCUUUGUACACACCGCCCGUCGCUGCCCGGGACUGAGCCAUUUCGAGAAAUUUGGGGACCGUUGAUUUAAUUUUUCUAAAUUACUUUGAUGGAAACCAAUUUAAUCGCAGUGGCUUGAACCGGGCAAAAGUCGUAACAAGGUAGCUGUAGGUGAACCUGCUGCUG